CAAUAGCGUAUAUUAAAGUUGUUGCGGUUAAAAAGCUCGUAGUUGGAUUUCUGCCGAGGACGACCGGUCCGCCCUCUGGGUGAGUAUCUGGCUCGGCCUGGGCAUCUUCUUGGAGAACGUAGCUGCACUUGACUGUGUGGUGCGGUAUCCAGGACUUUUACUUUGAGGAAAUUAGAGUGUUUCAAGCAGGCUUACGCCUUGAAUACAUUAGCAUGGAAUAAUAAGAUAGGACCUCGGUUCUAUUUUGUUGGUUUCUAGAGCUGAGGUAAUGAUUAAUAGGGAUAGUUGGGGGCAUUCGUAUUUAACUGUCAGAGGUGAAAUUCUUGGAUUUGUUAAAGGCGGACUACUGCGAAAGCAUUUGCCAAGGAUGUUUUCAUUG
rnacentral:rRNA from 1 species